rnacentral:lncRNA from 10 species
CAAUUACCAGAGGUAUUCAUUUAGAUUUUCAUUUCCAUAAAAUGAGAAUUACAGUAUUCACAUCAUUGGUUUGUUCUGAGGAUUGAGUUAAUAAAACAGCGAAAGAGUAAGCGCUAUGUUAGCUAUUAUUAUUGUGAAUAGAAAGAAUUGCUCUUCCUCCUCCAAUUUAAACAAAUCAAAGUAGGGAAAAAUCCAAUACUUUUAAUACUAUUAAGAUACGGUUUUCUCUGUUGCUUAAAAAAAUAAUAAUCACAGGGCAGGGGAGUGUUGGAAAGCAUCAGCCACAUUUUUUAAGAUAAAAGCACUCAUGGACACUACACUACAUUUAAUAGCUCCAGGAAAAACUCGACUUUAAGCAGAACUAAAGGGGAAAUGAAACCAGAGCUUCCUGUAUUUUACUUCCAGCAAUUCUGUCAUUAUACUGCACACCAACAAUACACACCGAUCAAAUCUAUCACUUUUUCUUUAUUAAGAAAAAAAACUGUAUCCCUCUUGGUUUACCACCUAAAUAUAGCCCCAUGUCAUUAACUUAAUUCGUUAGUCAAAACCUCAAAACUCUGGCUCCGUGACUCAAUUCAGGAAGUAAGAACAAGAGCAAAAAGAAUGGAUGCCGAGUUGCCAUACACAUGUAUAAUAACAAGCCAGUGACCCAAUUUAAGCCAUCUGCUUGCAUUAAAUCACGCAACCCCCGAAGUAUCCCCAGGGACAGGUCCCGCCAGCAUGAACACUUCGUAUGCAUCACAAGCAGCCAUCACUUAAGUUUCACGUACGGUCAAAGGAAGUCACAUGACUUGCGCUUUGCAAUGUUUAACACUGCAGUCAAAUGACUCGGCAUCCUAAAGAGCGUGUUAGAGGCAGGGAACGCAAUGGAGGUCACUCCACUGUCACUACAAAUUCCGGGAAGGAAACUUCCCCAGAUUCCUCCACUUGGAGGUGGCGCUCGGCCUCAGGCUAGGAGGGAACAGGUGAGAAAGCAGCCCAGGUGGGGUGGGUUUGCAGCGAGGAGACACCCCAGGGCAAACAGCCUGACCCCAGCCAGGGAUGUCCAAGAAAGGCCGCGACUCCUGAUAAUCCCUUAUGCCCCGGAGCGCCUCGCCUGCAGAGGCAGCGUCCCCGCCACCCAGCCCCGGCUCUGCCGCGGUGAGGACCGGCGGGUCGGGGUGGACUGGACACUGUCCCACCCAUCAAAUGGUGAUUUAGGAGCCGUGACAUCCGAAUGCCAUCCUCCACUGGCGAGACCCUCAGAGCAGCCACGCCUCUAGCGACUGCCCCGCCACCCGAGGCCGGGGGUCGCGCGACUCACCCAAAGACUGGUGUUUCAGGCGCUCCACGGAGCAGGUUGUUUGUCAGCAGCUAAGUGCCGUCAGGGUUCCCGGC